rnacentral:lncRNA from 1 species
UUGACCUCACAAAAAUGAGAAAAAUCUCACCUAUAUCAUUUUAAAUAUUGUAAAAUAAAAAAUCAUGCAUAUUCAUGCUAGAUAGGGCAUAUGUAAAUUUUAGAAUGUUUAAAAUGCACAUGUUAUGUAUAAUACAAAUUUGGAUCUCUAUGUAGUAGAGAGUUAUUGAUGUUGGAAUUAUGCAUAUGGAUAACAUUCUUAUAUGUGGCUUGGGAUCAUGUUUCAUGUAGUGAAAAUGACAAGUACAAUAUGCUCUUGAACUUAGAACUCAUGUUGACAUAGGAGAAAGCAUACUGUCAUAAAGUGACAUUAGAAUUGUGAUGUAUAUGCAAUUGGAAAACUAGAAUGUCAUAAAGAGGCAUUAGACUGGGAUUAUGCUUGACAUAGUGAACCUAAUGUCAUGAAGUGGCAUUAGAUGUAGUAAAUGGUUGAACCGUAUAUUGUGACAUAAAACUAGACCUAUAGGGUUACUAGUAUUCAUACCAUGUUGAGACAUGAUGACCUCUAACUUGAGACGGUUGAUUAUGCUUGCUUGCCAUUUGUGCUCAUUCGCACAUGCUUGUGAGGGUCGCUCCCUACAAGCCGACACUCCGGAAUUAACCUACGCGACAUAUGCUCGCUCGUGCGGUAUUGAGAAGCCUACCGAGCCGGAUGAGAUAGACUCAUUCCUAGUGUGGAAUGUUGGGCUACCACGGGCAGUUAGGCGGCACAAGCCGGACCACACUUGUGUAGGUCCUAAAAUGAGAUUGGACAAUGACAAUAUGUUAAGGAUUUUAUAGGUUGGCGAAUUUCGUAAAGUUGUUUGGAGUCUUGAAGAGUUGAUCGCAGAAGAUUUUGAGAAAAGAUUCAAAGUGGAGGACGAAGGCUCAUUCAGAAAGAACGACACCUAAGGUAUGAAGAAAAGAUCAUUUGUGGUGAAGAUAAAUAAUUUGAUUAAGUUCAGAAGGCUUAGAUUGUUUUUAAACAUAUUUUCUGAACUUUCUUGUGUUCUGGGACCGGUCUCUGAGAUAGAGAGACCGGUUCCACCAAGGUCCUCACUGCGUAAUCCUUGAUGCAACCGGUCUCCUGUGAUGAGAGACCGGUUCCCGAACCUUGGUGGUUCUGUCGGCGCAGCGAGGGACCGGUCUCAAGGUUUGAGAGACCGGUUCCCGAACGUGGGGUUUUUUGGUCACGCAGGGAGGGACCGGUUCCUCACUUGAGAGACCGGUCUCUCACAGACCGGUCUCCUCGACAGGACCGGUCUCUGAGGACGACACAGGUUUUUGAAAUCGACUUUUUGCAAUCCUAGUCUACUUCUAAGUCUUCUAAACAUAUAAAUAAGCUAUGUGGGUCGUCUAAAAUUAAGGCUUUGAUUAUUUUACCAAUUCCAAACCCUAGAAACUCGUUUUCUUUCUGUUUCAAUGCUUCGAUCUACACAAUGAGUUUCUAGCAAUCAACAUCGACUUGAUUCUUCGUUUUUACUCGAUACUUUCUACAAGAAUCAAGUAGAUGAUUGAUUAAAGGUGAACCCUCAUAGCUUAUGGUUUUCAAAAGAUAAAUCACCACAAAUCUUCAAUUCUACAAGCUCCGGAAGGAGGUUCGACGCGUGGAUCUCGCGUGAAGCCGAGGAUUCGGUGGACGCUUCAAGGAGUUGAGGCGUUGACGCUGCGAGGAGUUGCAGCAAGGUCGAUUGGUGGAUUCCUAUCGAUCGAGGACCGGCAAAGAUCACCGUCAACAAGAAAUCGGUAAAUUGAGUCGCGUGUUUUUGGUCGAAAUCACUUGUACUCAAGUUUUCUUAGUGGAUUUUCUUUGCGUGAUCGGUCCCGUGGGUUUUUCACUCCGAAUUGGAGUUUUCCCACGUUAAAUUCUCGGUGUGCUAUUUUAAUUUCCGCUAUUGUGUUUGUUUGCAUCGAGAUUUUUCGAGUUUGCCGGAUUUACACCUAUUCACCCCCCUCUAGGUGUUACUUACCUUUUAGAUCCUCGGGAUCAAUAACUUACAAGUGGUAUCAGAGCGGGUAUAGGUUGUAACUCAUGGCUGAGGGCGGUAACAUCAAUCGACCCCCUCUCUUCGAUGGAACUAACUAUGCUUAUUGGAAAGUCC